CACGUGAUCACAGCACAGUCAGCCAGGGGCGGGAAGUUCAAAAGUGCUUAGCACUGUGCAGUAUUUAUCCCGUCAUUAUAGACGCAGCCUAGCACUGCAGCUGCUGCUGCGGAACUUCCACUGGUGCAGGGGGUGCAAUGCGCAGGGGCCCAUGGUAAUGAAGGGGCCCAUAUGUGUCAAACUUAAUUAUACUGACUUAUCUUUAUGAAUGUAUUGCUGGGCACGCACGGCUGUGGUCUGUAAUAAAGGAGGAGGAGGAGGCGGUCUAGCUGGAGGAGGAAGAGGGAGCCCACUCCCCUCUCUUCACAUCUCCUCCCAUUCUCUUACCGUCCUCAUCCCCUCUCACAGACAGGCUGCUAUUGCCGGGUUCGACGUCAUGAUCUAGUGACCGGCCCCGGCGCGAAAAUAAAGAGAGCAGAGAAGCUUUCCUGAGUCCAUGUCCCCCGAUAUUCUUCGUUCAACUGACCCAUAGAUGUUGGAACCUGCUAUCAUUGGAAACCAUUGAACACUGAGGAUCCAGGAAAUGCGUAAUGGCUUAAGAUCUUACAGCUGUUCUGCAGCAAGGAAAUAAAGGCUUGUCUGUGCUAUGAAGCACUUCCACUGGAUAUCUGAACACUUGAAGAAGCUGUCUACUGGGAGAGGAGCUUUCUGACACUAUCUUCAGCUGACACACUGACAGGACGAAUGACGUCACUGUUCCUCACUCUCUGUAGCUGCACUGUGACUGCGCUGUGUACUGGGAGAGGAGCUUUCUGACACUAUCUUCAGCUGACACACUGACAGGACGAAUGACGUCACUGUUCCUCACUCUCUGUAGCUGCACUGUGACUGCGCUGUCUACUGGGAGAGGAGCUUUCUGACACUAUCUUCAGCUGACACACUGACAGGACGAAUGACGUCACUGUUCCUCACUCUCUGUAGCUGCACUGUGACUGCGGUAACUGAAGAUGGCUUUGACAAAACAGGAGAGAAUUAAGGUAAUUCUGCUGACCAAUGUCGUGUGCUGCGUUGCUGGCUCUUCAUGAAGGAUGGCAAAACCAUUGUUGAGUUUGUCUCGUCAGUAGCAGUUUUUGGAAAACCCCUCCAUGACUUGUCAGCCACAGUCCCAGUUUCUCGGAAUAUGGAAAUUAGUCACCUGACAGUGUUAUGUGAAAUUGGCGGUCUUUCUGGGUGCCGGUUGUUAAAAUCUGCAGCUGUGACACGGAAACUUCAUUCUCCCGACAUCAAAAUUAAAGUUCUUCGCACCCUUCAUACAAACCAUGUGCAAUGAGCAACCUCUAUGUACUCCAAAAUCCUGCACCCGGACAAGAUGACCAACCUUCACAUCCAGAAACAAUUGAUCAGUGUCAGACUGGAGCAUGAAGGGCCCACCCAAAUGUAGUGAUAGCAACUCACACUUAGGGGAGCCACGCCCCUAGCCCAUCCACCAUAGAGGCUCAGCUAACCAAUAGAGAGUGCAUGGUCUGGGCCCCUUUAUAAAUAAAUAUAGUAAACACUGCUAGUGCAUGCAUGAUAUGUAGCAGAUUAAUAACAGCAAUGCACUGUACAAAAUACACCAUAGUCCUGUGCAGUGUAAUGUAACAGGUGUAUAAUGUAUAAUCCAAGUGCGCAGUCAGGAACCUGAUCCCUCAGGCAUUGGAGCCCACUGGAGUUUUCCUCUCUACCCCUGUGGGCCAGUCCAACACUGCACUUGCACUGUCCAUACUGUCCAUUACAAUUUUCUUAAAACACUUUAUUCCAAUAGGUCAUUGGUAAAACUCUCCAAACAGAUAUACCUACAUAUUGUAAUUUGUCUUCAGUUGUUCCAAAAUGUAUUUUGUUACUACAUGAUAUAUUGCUCACUAGUCUUUAGAGUCAAACACAUUCAUUAUGUUUGAUUGUCAAUGCUGAUGUUCUAAAUAUGUAUGUAUAGCAUUUCAUGAGGUUAAAUAAAGGAUGAGAAACAUAUUUAGAAAAUGUCAAUCUAUCACAAAAAUAGACUUACACUAUGGGGGUUAUUCCGAGUUGAUUGCACGCUGCCGAUUUUCGC